CUGGAAGAGCCGCCCAACGCCCA
rnacentral:siRNA from 1 species